AAAGGAAUUGACGGGGGCCCGCACAAGCGGUGGAGCAUGUGGUUUAAUUCGAUGAUACGCGAGGAACCUUACCAAGGCUUAAAUGGGAAUUGACAGAAUUAGAGAUAAUUUUUUCUUCGGACAAUUUUCAAGGUGCUGCAUGGUUGUCGUCAGCUCGUGCCGUGAGGUGUUAGGUUAAGUCCUGCAACGAGCGCAACCCCUUUCAUUAGUUGCCAGCGUUUAAAGACGGGGACUCUAAUGAGACUGCCGGUGCAAACCGUGAGGAAGGUGGGGAUGACGUCAAAUCAUCACGGCCCUUACGCCUUGGGCUACACACGUGCUACAAUGGCCGGUACAGAGGGGAGCUACCAAGUGAUUGGAUGCGAAUCUUUAAAGCCGGUCUCAGUUCGGAUUGGAGUCUGCAACUCGACUCUAUGAAGCUGGAAUCGCUAGUAAUCGCAAAUCAGCAAUGUUGCGGUGAAUACGUUCCCGGGCCUUGCACACACCGCCCGU
rnacentral:rRNA from 1 species